AUGCUGUCCUCCGACUAUUACGAUUCCACCAUUCAGCAGCAUGGCCAGGGCGGGUGGAUACAACAUGGUUGCUGUGGCCGCAAGGAUGUACUACGACAAGGGUCGGGCAAGCUUGCGGGGUCGAGCAUGAGAAGGGAGCACGAGAACGGCUACAGUUCCUGUUCCAGGCAGAGGUUCAGGGUGCAGGGCCACAUGCCUAACCAAUAUAUGGCCUCUUGUGAACUUCCAUUCUCUCGGUUGUGCGCUACUACAUCCGGUCGCUCUGAGACAAAGGAGACGAUGGUGGCCAAAGAAACAUCAUCCCCAACUCAGAGCUCCAAAUCUAGUGUCUUGACACGGAAAGAUUCGGACCUUGAGGAUUGGAGUUUGAACGAGAUGCAUUUGGUGUGA
rnacentral:rRNA from 1 species